rnacentral:rRNA from 1 species
GUGGACUCAGGUAGUGGCGCACGGGUGCGAACGCGUGGGAACCUGCCUUUAGGUUCGGAAUAACUCAGAGAAAUUUGAGCUAAUACCGAAUAAUGUCUUCGGACCAAAGAUUUAUCGCCUUUAGAUGGGCCCGCGUUAGAUUAGAUAGUUGGUGGGUAAUGGCCUACCAAGUCGACGAUCUAUAGCUGGUCUGAGAGGAUGAUCAGCCACACUGGGACUGAGACACGGCCCAGACUCCUACGGGAGGCAGCAGUGGGGAAUAUUGGACAAUGGGCGAGAGCCUGAUCCAGCAAUGCCGCGUGAGUGAUGAAGGCCUUAGGGUUGUAAAGCUCUUUUACCAGGGAUGAUAAUGACAGUACCUGGAGAAUAAGCUCCGGCUAACUCCGUGCCAGCAGCCGCGGUAAUACGGAGGGAGCUAGCGUUGUUCGGAAUUACUGGGCGUAAAGCGCGCGUAGGCGGCUUUUCAAGUCAGGGGUGAAAUCCCGGGGCUCAACCCCGGAACUGCCCUUGAAACUGGAUGGCUAGAAUACUGGAGAGGUGAGUGGAAUUCCGAGUGUAGAGGUGAAAUUCGUAGAUAUUCGGAAGAACACCAGUGGCGAAGGCGACUCACUGGACAGUUAUUGACGCUGAGGUGCGAAAGCGUGGGGAGU